UGCCAGCCGCCGCGGUAAUACGUAGGGUGCGAGCGUUGUUCGGAAUUACUGGGCGUAAAGGGCGCGCAGGCGGAAUAGCAAGUCGGAGGUGAAAGCCCGGGGCUCAACCCCGGAGGGUCUUUCGAAACUGCUAAUCUAGAGAGGGUCAGGGGCCAGCAGAAUUCUUGGUGUAGAGGUGAAAUUCGUAGAUAUCAAGAGGAAUACCGGUGGCGAAAGCGGCUGGCUGGGGCCACUCUGACGCUGAGGCGCGAAAGCGUGGGGAGCAAACAGGAUUAGAUA
rnacentral:rRNA from 1 species